UCCGUCGACUUUAAAAAUCGUGA
rnacentral:tRNA from 2 species